rnacentral:rRNA from 1 species
GUGGGGAAUAUUGGACAAUGGGCGCAAGCCUGAUCCAGCCAUGCCGCGUGAACGAUGAAGGCCUUCGGGUUGUAAAGUUCUUUAGCCGAUGAUUAUAAUGACUGUAGUCGGAAAAUAAGCCCCGGCUAACUUCGUGCCAGCAGCCGCGGUAAUACGAAGGGGGCGAGCGUUAUUCGGAAUCACUGGGCGUAAAGCGUGCGUAGGCGGUCUCGUAAGUUAGGAGUGAAAGCCCAGGGCUCAACCUUGGAAUUGCUCUUAAUACUGCAAGGCUCGAAUCUCGGAGAGGAUAGCGGAAUUUCCAGUGUAGCAGUGAAAUGCGUAGAUAUUGGAAGGAACACCAGUGGCGUAAGCGGCUAUCUGGACGAGUAUUGACGCUGAGGCACGAAAGCGUGGGGAUCAAACAGGAUUAGAAACCCUUGUAGUCC